CACACGUGUGCAAGAGCGCACUCGGCAUACUACUCACGCUGACGCACGAGAUCGAGAGAUCACACAAGUAGAUAUCCUGUGGUACUCAUCGCCCUACGAGAACUGGACGUUGUAGCCGGUACGCUAUCGUGUCGUCCCGCAGCUAACGCGAUAAGUCCUGCACCUGGGGAGUACGGUCGCAAGACUGAAACUCAAAGGAAUUGACGGGGGCCCGCACAAGCGGUGGAACAUGUGGUUCAAUUCGACGCUACGCGAAGAACCUUACCUGGGCUCGAAGCGCAGUUGACUGGGGAUAGAAAUCCGCUUUCCUUCAAAGGACAAGUGGAGGUCGCGGAAUGGUGGUGUUCAGUUGUUUCCGUGGAUUGUUGGUUAAGUUCCGCAACGAGCCCCAACCCCUCCACGUAGUUGCCACUGGGCAAGGAGGGCACUCUAGGUGGACUGCUUCGGAUAACGGAGAGGAAGGUGGGGAUGACGUCAAGUCCUCAUGGCCUUUAUGUCCAGGGCUACACACGUGUUACAACGCAGGGCACAAACCGUUGCCAACCCGUGAGGGGGAGCUAAUCGGAAAAAACUGUCCUCAGUUCGGAUUGCAGUCUGCAACUCGACUCCAUGAAGCUGGAAUCGCUAGUAAUGGCGGAUCAGAUCGACGCGGUGAAUACGUUCCCGGGCCUUGUACACACCGCCCGUCACAUCACGAAAGUGGGCUGUACUAGAAGUCGGUGUGCUGACCGCAAGGAAGCAGCCGUCCAAGGUACAACUCAUGAUUGGGGUGAAGUCGUAACAAGGUAACC
rnacentral:rRNA from 1 species